rnacentral:rRNA from 1 species
AUGAAUCUUUUGGCCUGGAACUGUCGAGGAUUGGGGUUGGACUCGACGGUUGGCGAAUUGAGAGACCUGAUACGGUCCUACAACCCAGCGGUGGUUUUUCUCUGUGAAACGAAGAAAACGGCGAGAGCAAUGGAGCGACUCCAGUGGAGCUUGGGGUUUAAUCGAGGUGUAGCGGUUGACUGUCAAGGAAAGAGUGGGGGUCUUGCGCUAUGGUGGAGAGAUCAUCUUCAAGUAACCGUG